rnacentral:rRNA from 1 species
GGUGAACGCUGGCGGCGUGCCUAACACAUGCAAGUCGAACGGACAUUGAAUGAAACCUAGUGAUUUUAAUGUUAGUGGCGGACGGGUGAGUAACGCGUGGGAAACCUGCCCUGUACCGGGGGAUAACACUUAGAAAUAGGUGCUAAUACCGCAUAAGCGCACGGUUCCGCAUGGAACAGUGUGAAAAACUCCGGUGGUACAGGAUGGUCCCGCGUCUGAUUAGCUAGUUGGUAAGGUAACGGCUUACCAAGGCGACGAUCGGUAGCCGGACUGAGAGGUUGAACGGCCACAUUGGGACUGAGACACGGCCCAG